CCCCACCUGCCUGCGAGAGCCCUGAUGCACUGAUGGUCUUCAGUGCUCUUCCAAGGACAUAGUAUUUUGGAUAAUGCUUUUUUUUUUUUUUUUAAUUAUUUUUUUCUUCGUGUGUAACUUCAGGAUGCAACAAUGGAAUGCUAUUUUUAAAAAGCCUAAGACCGGGUAACAGAGCAGCCCUGGGGUCACCGGGCCCCCGAAGUCAGGUGGAGCCUGGAGGCCCUGGCACAGCCUGCCGUGUGGCGCGGGGCGGCUGGGGACCCAGGACUGCGGCGAGAGCCCCGGGCCCCGUGCACCCUGCGGGAGCGCUGCAGAAACCAGCAGGUGUACCGGGCAGGUGCGGAAGCCAGCAGGUGCACAGGUGAGAAGCCAGCAGGUGCACCUGGCAGGUGCUGGAAGCCAGCAGGUGCACCAGCAGGUGGGAAGGCAGCAGGUGCACCGCGCAGGUGAGAAGCCAGCAGGUGCACUUGGCAGGUGCUGGAAGCUAGCUGGUGCACCGAGCAGGUGGGAAGCCAGCAGGUGCACUGGCAGGUGGGGAAGCCAGCAGGUGCACCGGGCAGGUGGGAAGCCAGCGGGUGCACCAAGCAGGUGCGGAAACCAGCAGGUGCACCCUCAGGUGGGAAGCCAGCAGGUGCACCUGGCAGGUGCAGAAGCCAGCAGGUGCACCGGGCAGGUGGCAAGCCAGCAGGUGCACCGGGCAGGUGAGGCGUCGGGUCCGGGAGCAGGUGCGGCAAGCAGGGCAGCGCCUUGGGGCCGCCUGGAGGAGGCAGCCCGGAAACACCGGGGCGGCGUCGACGGGCCUUUCCUCUGCCGCAGAUCCGCCCGGUUCUCCGCCCACGUCCCUUCCCGUCGGACCACCUUCCCAUCCGCCCCAUUCACAGAUGACCAUCAUGUCUUGCUGGGGUGGUUUCCCCGCGUCUGGUGCCCCCCUCGCCCAGCAAGCCCUGUGGAAUCCUUCUAAGAUGCACAUGUGAUCAUUAAAGCAGGCCGUGGGUUCCCCUGACGCGGCCCCUCCAGCCCCCCCUGGCCUGGCCUUGGGCUGCAGCACAGCUCUCCCUAGUGCUCCAGUCCCCGCACACCAGGCUCCUCCCCGGGACCCCUCCCUACAGAAGCACCCUAAUGAGCAUCCUGGCGGGCGGCACCCUGCCCCCCGGCGUCCACCAGAGCCUCUGGCCACACUCCGUGCUCCCUGGGGGGUUCCGCCGCACCCUGCAGCUCUCUGCUUCCUCGGCUACCAGCAGUCCAGGCGAGUGAAUCUGCUCCAAAACUUCAGCCUCACACCAGGGUUGCACCGUUGAGCCCCUCCGCACCUGCCAGGCUUCCGCUGUGGGACUUGGUUGGGGGAACAGGUGCGACGUGUCCUCCGGAGGACUACCGCUAAUGCCCCAGGUCCUGCCCCUGGUGCUGCAACCGGGCUCCCCUGUUUUCUUGGGAGGAGAACCAGCCACAUGGCUCAAGGCCUGCCGACCUCCGCGCUGCUCGCGUGACUCUCAGAAGCCUCAGAGACGCUUGUGCACCGGCAGGACCCCCUUCCCGCUAGCAGGCUGCCAGGGAAGGGAGCUCACAGCUUCUGCCGUCGCUGCACUGCAGCCUCUGGGUGGGACGUUCCUCCCAUUGGAGCCACCAUUGGCGGACCUGGAAGGGGUGAGGGAGCUUUCGUGUGUCUGGCUGGGGCCCUCCACGCCAGUGAGGACAGGAUGACGGGUGAACAGUCCCCCGGAGUGCGACGCCUGUGCUCAGACCCCAGGUAGAGUCCUCGGGCGCUGUCCCCUCCCUCCACACCCCCCGCGGUGGAGCAGGUGUUCCACAGGCCCACGGAAAACUGCCGCUUGGCCUCCAGGGCCCCAGGAUGAGAUUGGGUGUGGUUCACAGGAUGCGGUUCCCGACACAAGACCCUCCCAUAUCUCCCGCCCUGAAUCGUCCGCUCUCCCCUUUAGCACGGGGGCAGCAUUUUUGUCCAAAGAGCCAAGUUUCCGGGUGAACUAAAACACGAGCCUACCCAGGA